rnacentral:rRNA from 1 species
UAGUAGGGAAUAUUGGUCAAUGGGCGGAAGCCUGAACCAGCCAUGCCGCGUGCAGGAAGACGGCCUUCUGGGUUGUAAACUGCUUUUACCAGGGAACAAAUAGGCCAUGCGUGGCAAGUUGAGUGUACCUGGGGAAUAAGCACCGGCUAACUCCGUGCCAGCAGCCGCGGUAAGACGGAGGAUGCAAGCGUUAUCCGGAAUUAUUGGGCGUAAAGCGUCCGUAGGCGGUUUAUCAAGUCAGUUGUUAAAGACUGCAGCUCAACUGUGGGCGAGCAACUGAAACUGAUGAACUAGAGUGCGGUAGGGGUAGAGGGAAUUCCCAGUGUAGCGGUGAAAUGCGUAGAUAUUGGGAAGAACACCAGUGGCGAAGGCGCUCUACUGGGCCGCAACUGACGCUGAGGGACGAAAGCUAGGGGAGCGAAAGGGAUUAGAUACCCCCGUAGUCC